GGUGCUAUUUUUAAUAUCCACAUGUGAUUGUAUUUUGAAAACAGACAAUCAAAGCAGCCAUUGGGAAGCUCUGUCCCCUAAAGGGAGGCUGGGGACUUGCAGCGUGCGUGGCUUUGCUGUUGGGCUGAGCACCUCCCAGCACUGCUGGGAAGAUAUCAGAAAGGUGCCUGCAGCUGCUGAAAUACAGCAAACUGCCUCCUUCUUUCCCCACUCUGGCUAUCUGUGACAUCCACAAAAUCCAGAUGAACAUCUGACAGCUGCCUUGCACCCCAGCGAUCAGGAGGAAAUGGAGGAGAGGGGCUGUCCUAUGUUGGCCCUUUGCACAAAGAAGGUGGGACUAGACAUUGCCACCAAGGUGUUGUAUCGUGAGGACCAGAAGCCUCUCGUUAUGGCAGCCCCAGGAUGCUACACCGAUGGCGGCCUGGUUUUACGACUUCUCCACUUUACCUCAUUAAAGGCAGAAGAGAGAGAGCUGCAGAACGUGCAGCUGGAUCGUAAACACCAGGAAGGAAGAAAACAAGUGCAUAAAAAAGAUGGGGCAUGGAGCAUAGGGAUUUUACUCUUCGAGCACUGUGAUAGCGCAUCCCAUCUACUACACUGUCUGGGCUCACUGCUGUUAACUCCAGGUACGUCACAGAAUCAUAGAAUGGCUUAGAUUGGAAAGGACCAAGCUCGUGCUGUGGGCUAGUUGCCACUCACCAGAUGAGGCUGCCCAGGGCCACAUCCAACCUGGCCUUGAACAGCCCCAGGGAUGGGGGAACACUGAUAUCUGUCUUUUCCCCAAGUUCUGCAUAUGGGAUCUAGGAAAGCCCCACGUCCUGAGUUUGAUGUUACUUCUGGAGUUUUUGUAGUAGUAUUUUUUUAUAGCUCUGAGACAGCACGGAUUCCUGUGGGUUUGAGAGCACCCUCUGCACCAUGCUGAUUUCUGGGAUAACCUGCAGGCAGAGCUCGGGUGAGCUGCCUACAGCCCUGCUUUGCAUCCUCUUCACUUCCCUUCUAACACAAACACUGCAGAGCAGGAAGAUACACGUACACACAGAUCAUCAGUUCCAAGGGAUUCCGUACCUGCUCUUGCCAGGAAUAUUCACUGCUACUUUAACCUUUCAAAAUUUCCUGCUUUACUGUGGGAAAUGACCACUUCACACAUUUCUCACAGGUUAACAGUGCUAUAAAGAGCUCAGCUGGUCAGCAGAGUCAGAAAACACUGAAAAGGUCAAAGCAUGCCAGUGCUACAGCGGUUUCCCUCUAAUUUAGAGCAGCCUGUGACCUUCACUUAACUCCUACUUUAAAUGAUUGCAAAUUAAGUUGGGCAACUUAACCUGAGCUUUAAAAAUCUAAAUGAAUUGAAAGAUGAAACUCUAUCAAGCAGCUUUCCAUCAAUGUCAGACAGUGUCCUCCAACACACGUACACCAGACAGACACUUCUGCCUGUGAGCCUUACUCACGCAGCUGAGAUAUAUUCAAAUAAAGCCCCAUUAACUCCCCCAGCACUAAAUGACAUCCAUGCAUUAGUACCACUGCAUAGUUGUCCUCGUGAACAAAGGCAUAUCCGACCGGAGCUCUUUUCUACAAGGUGUUUUUUAAUCUUCUUGGCUUAUGCAGGACUUACAGCUAUAAUAUAUGGUGUUUGCAUAGCAGUCAUAGCAAGGAUUUCAGCACUGUAAAUCCAUCACCUGCUUUCCAUCGUCUGCACACUGGCGCUCAUGCCAAAGCUUUCAACUCCAGCAGUACCCAACCUCCCGGGCUCUAGGGACCAGUUGCCCACCAGUGAUUAAAUGCAAUGAUGAAACAGAAGAAAGCUCUGUAGCAAAGCAUCAGAAUCUCAAAAGUCUCCAAGCUUCUCAGUCUCAUCCAUCAGGUGACAGCAGAGUAAACCUAGCUGUGGGGCACUGACUGGAAGAGAUGUGCUUGGAGGCCUUUGUGGGACCCUAAACUCUAAGCAAUCACUGGUACCCAGGAGCAGCAGAGCUGGAGGCUGCUGCCUAUGGCAAGGGAAUUGGAUCCCCCAAUGGCACCAUGAAUAUUUGUCCAUUAACACAAAGAGAGGAGUCCUGAACAAGGUGUGGGUUUGUACCUCAGCUCCUUCUUUUUAUAUUCUUUAAUGUGGCCUUUGUUUCCUUUUACUUCCUGCAUGCACAUCUACCUGAUCCUUUGUUAUUGUACAGCAACUAAUGUGAACAAAAAACAUUUGCUGAGAAGCAAAACCAGGAGUUCCACUUUUUUUCCAGUGACAUAAAUCUAUAUCCCAAUAACUGUAGCUAAAGCAAAGACACGCGACACACCUCCACAGAAACAUGCAGGAGAAUCGGAGAAUUGUGGAAUUGUUUGAGUUGGAAGGAUCCUUUAAAAGCCAUCUGGUCCAACUGCCCCUGCACUGAACAGGGACACCCACAGCUCAGAGCCCACCCAGUCUGACCUUGGCCGUCUCCAGGGAUGGGGCACCACCACCUCUCUGGGCAGCCUGUGUCAGAGCCUCCCUGGCCUUAACGUACAAAGCUUUUUUCCUUACAUCCAAUCUAAAUCUCCCCUCUUUCAGUUUAGGGGUAAUUAAAC
ensembl:lncRNA